rnacentral:rRNA from 1 species
GACGAACGCUGGCGGCGUGCUUAACACAUGCAAGUCGAACGGAGAGGCCCUGCUUUUGUGGGGUGCUCGAGUGGCGAACGGGUGAGUAACACGUGAGUAACCUGCCCUUGACUUUGGGAUAACUUCAGGAAACUGGGGCUAAUACCGGAUAGGAGCUCCUGCUGCAUGGUGGGGGUUGGAAAGUUUCGGCGGUUGGGGAUGGACUCGCGGCUUAUCAGCUUGUUGGUGAGGUAGUGGCUUACCAAGGCUUUGACGGGUAGCCGGCCUGAGAGGGUGACCGGCCACAUUGGGACUGAGAUACGGCCCAGACUCCUACGGGAGGCAGCAGUGGGGAAUAUUGCACAAUGGGCGGAAGCCUGAUGCAGCAACGCCGCGUGCGGGAUGACGGCCUUCGGGUUGUAAACCGCUUUCGCCUGUGACGAAGCGUGAGUGACGGUAAUGGGUAAAGAAGCACCGGCUAACUACGUG